UAGGAGAAGUGAAGAGUUCCACUAGGAGGACCAGGAGGGACGCAUCUCUCGUGUACUAGUUAUUGUGCCCACAAUAAACACUGGAUAGCUAAAUGCGGAGUGGACAACUACUAAAGGUAUAUAAGUAGUAGGCCCAUCUCAAAAUGAGUGCUCUCCUAUUCUGACUUUCCCUGAGCAUCCAAUAGCGCAACUGAGACAGCGACGGAUUCUCUGCUCCCGUAAGAAUGGAGCUACAAAAAUUUUGAGAAUUCAACAGAAAGUCACAGCGAGACGAGCUGUUUAUCAUUAUGAUUGGUGUUAAGUGGAAGUGCAGUAACAUAUGCAGCUAAAGCAUCCUAAUAAACUGG
rnacentral:ncRNA from 1 species